GACGAACGCUGGCGGCGUGCCUAUACAUGCAAGUAGAACGCUGAAGAGAGGAGCUUGCUCUUCUUGGAUGAGUUGCGAACGGGUGAGUAACGCGUAGGUAACCUGCCUUGUAGUGGGGGAUAACUAUUGGAAACGAUAGCUAAUACCGCAUAACAAUGGAUGACACAUGUCAUUUAUUUGAAAGGGGCAAUUGCUCCACUACAAGAUGGACCUGCGUUGUAUUAGCUAGUAGGUGAGGUAACGGCUCACCUAGGCGACGAUACAUAGCCGACCUGAGAGGGUGAUCGGCCACACUGGGACUGAGACACGGCCCAGACUCCUACGGGAGGCAGCAGUAGGGAAUCUUCGGCAAUGGGGGCAACCCUGACCGAGCAACGCCGCGUGAGUGAAGAAGGUUUUCGGAUCGUAAAGCUCUGUUGUAAGUCAAGAACGAGUGUGAGAGUGGAAAGUUCACACUGUGACGGUAGCUUACCAGAAAGGGACGGCUAACUACGUGCCAGCAGCCGCGGUAAUACGUAGGUCCCGAGCGUUGUCCGGAUUUAUUGGGCGUAAAGCGAGCGCAGGCGGUUUGAUAAGUCUGAAGUUAAAGGCUGUGGCUCAACCAUAGUUCGCUUUGGAAACUGUCAAACUUGAGUGCAGAAGGGGAGAGUGGAAUUCCAUGUGUAGCGGUGAAAUGCGUAGAUAUAUGGAGGAACACCGGUGGCGAAAGCGGCUCUCUGGUCUGUAACUGACGCUGAGGCUCGAAAGCGUGGGGAGCGAACAGG
rnacentral:rRNA from 1 species